rnacentral:rRNA from 1 species
AGCGAAGCGGUUUCAAUGAAGUUUUCGGAUGGAUUUGAAAUCGACUUAGCGGCGGACGGGUGAGUAACGCGUGGGUAACCUGCCUUACACUGGGGGAUAACAGUUAGAAAUGACUGCUAAUACCGCAUAAGUGCACAGGGCCGCAUGGUCUGGUGUGAAAAACUCCGGUGGUGUAAGAUGGACCCGCGUCUGAUUAGGUAGUUGGUGGGGUAACGGCCCACCAAGCCGACGAUCAGUAGCCGACCUGAGAGGGUGACCGGCCACAUUGGGACUGAGACACGGCCCAAACUCCUACGGGAGGCAGCAGUGGGGAAUAUUGGACAAUGGGCGAAAGCCUGAUCCAGCGACGCCGCGUGAGUGAAGAAGUAUUUCGGUAUGUAAAGCUCUAUCAGCAGGGAAGAAAAUGACGGUACCUGACUAAGAAGCCCCGGCUAACUACGUGCCAGCAGCCGCGGUAAUACGUAGGGGGCAAGCGUUAUCCGGAUUUACUGGGUGUAAAGGGAGCGUAGACGGUUAAGCAAGUCUGAAGUGAAAGCCCAGGGCUCAACCCCGGUACUGCUUUGGAAACUGUUUGACUUGAGUGCAGGAGAGGUAAGUGGAAUUCCUAGUGUAGCGGUGAAAUGCGUAGAUAUUAGGAGGAACACCAGUGGCGAAGGCGGCUUACUGGACUGUAACUGACGUUGAGGCUCGAAAGCGUGGGGAGCAAACAGG